rnacentral:rRNA from 1 species
ACGGCGAGUGAAGCGGCAACAGCUCAAAUUUGAAAUCUGGCGCAAGCCCGAGUUGUAAUUUGUAGAGGAUGCUUCUGGGCAGCGGCCGGUCUAAGUUCCUUGGAACAGGACGUCAUAGAGGGUGAGAAUCCCGUAUGCGACCGGCUUGCACCCGUCACGUAGCUCCUUCGACGAGUCGAGUUGUUUGGGAAUGCAGCUCUAAAUGGGAGGUAAAUUUCUUCUAAGGCUAAAUACCGGCCAGAGACCGAUAGCGCACAAGUAGAGUGAUCGAAAGAUGAAAAGCACUUUGGAAAGAGAGUUAAAAAGCACGUGAAAUUGUUGAAAGGGAAGCUCACGCAGCCAGACUUGUCGGCGGUGUUCCGCCGGUCUUCUGACCGGUCUAUUCGCCGCCGGCAGGCCAGCAUCACUUGGGAGCGCCGGAUAAAGGCGUGCGGAAUGUAGCCCCUCGGGGCAUUAUAGCCGCGCGCACAAUACGGCGCCUCCCGAGUGAGGUCCGCGCUUCGGCUAGGAUGCUGGCGUAA